UAUGUGUGUGUCACGUGCACCGUCGUUCACAGCUGGUUCUUCCACCAUGGGUGUCCUGAAGUGGAACUCAGGUUGCAGCAAGCACCUUUACCAAUUGAACCACCUUGCUGGCCUAAGAUAAGAGUACUUUACUUAAUAAUGUGCCAGAGAUAACUGAAAGGUGUUAAGCUUGCUAUUGUGAAACAGUAAUGGCUUCAUACUGAGUAUUUAAGACUGACAGCAGUGAAGGAACUUUUCCUCUGCUUUCUCCUCCUCUUAGCAACUGAAAAUCUCUGGAGCAGCAUGGCAGUGAAGUGUGGUGACCUAGAGAGGACAGCACAGACGGUGUGGAGUGGUGACGAGAAUAGUGAUCGUGAAAGUUAAUAUUAUAUCUCAACAACUUGAUUGGACUGAGAAAGGCAGGGACUUGCCAAGUUCUCCUGGGUGUGUCUGUCAAGGCAUGUGGGUAGAGAAUAAAAUCACCGGAGCGAAUAGGGAGGUAGCAAAAGGAAGAUUGGCCCUAUGGAAAGGCUAUAACAUUGGAGGAGUUUGAUGUGGGACCCUGAGUGGUUCUAACUACCCAACAUUGAUGUGUCUUACGUCGUCUCCAACAGUAAAAGUGGAUAUGAGUUAUUAUAGUACAUAAACUUCUCCGUUGGCUCCAUUGGACCUUCAUGCCUAGCCUGUUGCUAUGGUGUGGGGGUGUUCAAGCUACCCUAUAAGCCGACAAGCAAGAAGCUGAGACCUCCUUCCAACACCCAUGUGCAAAAACAGCUUUAGAACUGUGAUUCCCAUCUGUGACCUCAGAAAAUGAUUAUCCCACCACUUCUAUGUGCUCCAGGGAAUGGGGGAAAUGGCAGAGCCCAUGGGAUUCCACUUUCUGCUGCCCAUACACUCACUGGUGGGGGGCCAUCCACUGGACUAUGGUUGACCUGAUUGUCUUUCCCCUGGAAACCACCAGCUAUCAAGAGCUCCUCAACUGCAUGCACCAGGCUUAUUGCUUCUUUUGCGGGUAUUAUAAAUGAGAUUUUUUUUUAUUGUUGUUUUGAGACGGAACCUUGCUAUGAUCCCAAGUGCUGGGAUCAUAGGUGUACAUCACCAUAGGUGGUAAAGACACAAUUUUGUUUUGUUUUUGAUACAGACUCUAGGUAUGUACACAGUGUAAGCUGACCUCAAAUUCUUGGUGAUCCUCCUGCCUCAGCCCCUCAAGUGCUGAAAAUACUACCACACCUGACUCAAAGAUCCAUUUCUGAAAGCCUUUCUUAUACUGGGAUGAUUGGUAAUAACCUCAAUAUAUUGAGGUAGCUGUAAUUUAUAUAAACACACACCAUAAAGCUCAAAAUGAAUGUGUCCUUGAGUUAACUCUUUCUUACCAGGUUCUGAAAACGCCACAGCUUCCCACAUUGUCACUCUUCUGGAAGAGAUAUGCAAUAGAGGAAAAUUCAGAAUGGAACGAGAUCUUAAAAUAAAAUAUAUUAUUUUUUACAUUACCCAAAACUGCUUUGUCAUAUGAAUAUAGCCUUGGAAAGACCUCAGACAAAUACAAAGCCCCCAAAUAAACA